GAAGUAGGCGAAGCGACGCGGGCAGGAGCAGUUUUCUUUGGCUGUUGGUCUAAAAAAAUGUUGUUUAGGGGAAGGAAGCGAUUAUUGCCGCGGUGGCCAUAUCAACGACGAGCAGGGAGCCCUCGCGGCGCGCCUUUGGGAUUCGGUCGGUCGGCCGCUCCGCUACAUGGGCCGCCCCCGGUACCACCGCCGGCGCCGCCGCGGCCGCGCGGUCCGCCGCAGCGCCCAGCUGUUCCGGUGGUCGGUGGACGAGUACCCGGGGCUGACCCGGCAGUUGGAGCUUUAGACGCUGUAGUAGUUGCGGCUGCAGACCGUUUGUUUUCUACACCAUUUCCGUCACUUCUUCGCUAACGUUGUAUUCCUAGGCUUUCAAGUUAUGAUACGAAACUGCAAUAACCUCUGCUACUACUUCUUGACACCUCUUAUACAAGUCAAACUUCAGCGACUUGUCGUACAAGACGUUCUUUACCAAUUUUAUUAGGUUUUCUUCUUGCUAUACGUUCAUUCCCUAUUCUAUAAUAAUGAAAACCUGAGGACCGUUCUUCGUAAACCACCUGGACCUCCAUUUAUGGCCGUCAUAGUGACCCGUAUAGAACUUCAUUUCGCCUGUCCAGAUCACAAAGGUUCUGCAGGGUAUCUACGGGGUGGUUAUGAAUGAGGAGGACGUUAUGUGUUAAGAGUUUUGAUACCAAGUGGACCUAUACGACGUCCUUCAAACUUACUCUCUUACAGGAGGCUACAACUAUGAGACUCAAAUCCUCUGAACUUAUUAUAAGCUUUACACUGCCUCAAUGACUUACUAUACCACAUACGAAACUUGGGUAGUCUAGGUCUCCGGCAGUUUCUACUUUAGUAGUGUCUAGAGCACUCGGUUACAGCGAGUUUAGUCGUUUUCGAGUACGUCAAACAGUCAAGCUGUCCCUUGCUCGUCAAUGAUUUCGUUCCAGAGCUUUAUUUACUAGCGGAUGUUUUACACGAAUGUUUUAUACUACGGUAGCGAAGACCAUGAGUAAACCGUCAACUUCGAGGGCACUCCCUCUGUUAACUCAGAGGAUCCCUCCUAGGUGGUCGUUUUGGUAGAAGUAGAGGAUAACUUGUUUUACUGCGAAGGUUACUUCUCCUCCUACUCAAGCGAGCCGACCGAGUUUCUUUUUUGUUUAGACACUAUUCAUCGCUACUCUGCAGUAGUUCGUGUUCGUGACACCUGGAACGGGAGCAUGGGUAACUAGACGGUUCGAGUCUUAGCGGUGGAAGACAACGUUCGUUACGUAACCAAGGGGAACUAGGUCGAGGACGGUGAUCAUCAUGAGUUUGGUUUCUCGUCCUAUACUAACUGGAAGAUUCGGAGUGAAACACGUCGGGAUGACUACUUUGAAGAUGUCUAAGAAGUCGUGUCCCAGUUUUACCGGAGGUCGUCGGAGGUCUACCCGUUGUUUUAGGAUGACCAUACGGGGUCAUAGGAGGUUGGUUGGUCGGUAUGAGUCAUUUGGUUCCUAUAUGAGGUGUCUUAUCCUUGAUACAACGUGGAACCCGGGUUUGACCUGGUAUAGGUAGAGUUCGGGUCUGGCCUGGUAUAGGUAGAGUUCGGGUUUGGCCUGGUAUAGGUAGAGUUCGGGUUUGGCCUGGUAUAGGUAGAGUUCGGGUUUGGCCUGGUAUAGGUAGAGUUCGGGUUUGGCCUGGUAUAGGUAGAGUUCGGGUUUGACCUGGUAUAGGUAGAGUUCGGGUUUGGUCUGGUAUAGGUAGAGUUCGGGGUCGUAUGCGUAGGCCUAUAGGUCACGGUGGAACCCGCUGUGGAGGUUGACAGUUAAGAUUAGGAAAGGACGGCCGACGAAUGGUUCUUGUUGAGGGGAGCCGUCGUUGGUGGAUGCGUCGAGGGAGUGGAAGUAUAUCGAGAGGAGGUCGGAGGGUCGGUUACGUUGUCAUGUCAAGACACCCAAGAAGUUGUUCGUUACCAGAUUGCUACGGAGUUCGAGGUUUACCCUUAGUAGUUGGCUUCCUAAGAAGUCGUCGCCGUUCGUUUGGAAUGAUGUAUGAGCUAUUAAACAAGUCACUAAACUAACUGAACUUCUCGUGGUCACCACCUUUAUUCUGACCAUGAUCAAACCCAUCGAGUUUACCACCGGUCGGAUACUAACCACCUUUCUUUAUUCAACAGAGAUUUACCAUGAUCAAACACCGAUGAACUAAGUUACAUGUAAACGACAUAUAGAGAUAAGGGAGAAAAUGUACAAACUAACGCAACCAAUUAAGCCACCCAAGUCAAUGUAUCUCAUUCGAUCUUGUAACCACUACAUGUAUUUACUAAUUAACGUAGCUCACCUAACAAUGAACAACGCCUGAACGUUGUGCAUUUUAUACGACCGCAAACCAAAGGGUACAGUACGUACAUGGUUACCGUCCAUGGUCAGCUAGGAAAUAGACGUUUUAAACACUGGCAAGGAAACAGUGUCCCUAGUAGACAGAGAAAUCCGGAGCAAACCAAAGUGGCUUUGGGGGGCCCUAGGGACGGAAAAGGGGCCCGGCUGUUUGGUGCUUGUCUUAUUUGGGACCUUAAGAGUGCUAGCGCAAACCUGCGGGUGCUCUUUCCCCAUGGGGACCGGAAAGGGGCCCUUUCCGAGGGUGCUCACGUCUGCAGCCCCUCCUUUGGGAGCGAGCAAGACAGAACGUGAGCACUUGCUGACCGCCGCCGCUGACCUUCUGGAAGGCAGGUGGCGAGGACGGAGGAGGCUGGCCGCUGACGCUGCGGGGGACGGGAGGAGGGAAGCUGCGAGACGGGGAGGCCUACCCCGCUGCCCUGGCCCCAGCGGUAGGAUGAUGAAGGGCCUAGAGCAGAGGCGGGGGUUCUAGAAGUGGAAGGCUACUGCUGCUGCCGGUCCUCUAGUACGAGGAGAAGCAGGUUCUAGGUUCUCAGAAGAGAGGACAAACUCAAAACAUAGUGUUCUUGGUUAUGCCUUCUUGUAGGUAGCAAACGUCAUCACAAAGAUGGAUUGAUAGGACUGGAGUGUUCACUCGUGUUGGUGUAUAUGGAGGAACACUACGAUUAGAUGUGUGUUACAAGAUCAUAUAAAGACUUCCCCUGAUGAGUCGGACAUGAUCGAAACAGGAUUAAAAUUGAAUCUUAGAAAUUAAUCCUAUUGAACUUCAUACGAACAGAACGAAUAUUAUUGCCACAUCGUAUUUGUAUGGUCAAUAACCUUAAGUUAACACAACUACUUUCAUCGUAAUCAUAGUACCAUUGACAAGUCAAAUUUUAAUGAGAGUAAGUUUAAGAAGGGAAAACAUGGUUCUAUACCUUGGUUCCAAACUCGUAUACAUUAGAACUAUUAACCGGAAGCCAAAUUUGAGAUACCUGGGUUCCCCUGUAAGUGAGGUAAUAGAGAUAGGUAAAAUGUGAAAAACGCAUGCGGUAACUCAACUAGAUAACAACAGAAUUGAAGUUCGAAAUAAACAUUUUUCAUACAAUCACCGUUUCAAUAAUUUUCUACUUUGGUACACGAUAAUUCUAAAACUCAAAAGGACUCCUAAUAAGUUUCUCUCUUGUUGUAGAAUAAUACAAACCUAGACAAACAAACACUUUCUACGUAUAUUUAUUCUUAUACACGGUUAUAUAUAAUACUGAAGACUUAACUAUAAUAGAAAAACAUUUCUUAAAACUGAAUACUACACUAACGUCGUUUCGGUUAACUAUCAUAAUAACUACGUCACGACAAUUCAGUAGUUAAUGAUUACAUGACAAUCUUUUACGGAAAUGACUAACUUCCUCUUUUAACGAUGGUUCCUCUUUUGUAUUCCAUACAUUAAAACUUCAUGGUUAAAUCUCCACGUCAAAACACAAAAGAAGGUAACCCGUAAAAUGUUAAACAAGUACUUAAACGUGUACGAUUGAUAUUCGUCUACUUAUAGAACACCUCUUUUGUCUCCCACAUAUGUUUACUCAAGUACGAGAACAGUCAAAAAGAAACACCUUAAUAGAACACAAAAACACACUUACGUAGAGAUGUUGAAAUCGAGGAAUACAGGUGGUACAGCCGCGACCACCGUAACUUGUACAGCUGCUACCCCCGUCACGGUAGGAACUACUAAGUCAAGUCCUAGAGGGUGAACCGCCGCAGGAACCGCGACAUCGAGAGAAAGCCCAAGUCGGGCGUCGGCUGCCUCUGCUGGUACUUGAACGGCAUACAACCUUAUUUGGGUUCAGGCGUGGAUCAUAUAAAGAGACGGUACCAUCCGUGAAGACAAAACGACGGUACGUCGCAAAAAUCGAUCACAGAUCAAAAGUCAAAGUCAGAAAGAAGUCAGUUAGAUAAUCGCUCAAAUCGAUCUCAUCAAUCAGCGGUCCUCGCUAAGACCGCAGGUGAGACUAGCGAACACCCUACCUAAAAAAAAGUCAACAUCGAGUAAAAAGUAAUCGACUAUGGAAGUCAAUAGCAUAUGGUUACAGGAAGAGACUCGGGGGAAAAGUCAACGUCGAAACUUAUUUAAGUCACUUAAAUCAAAGUACUGCUCUAAUAUGUUUCACUUCGUCAACCAAUCAUCAUUAGGAAAUUUGUAAUAUGUUAUAGUUCCUCUUUUCGAGACUGCUCGAACAGUAAUCACGGUAGGCCACGUAUAAUAAGACUUGUAAUAUGUUAUAAUGUUAACCUUAUCAAAAAUAUGUUAACUUUUCGAGACUUCCGAUAAAAGUUUGAUCAAAGUCAGAUUGUAAGCAAAGAACGCUUUACUACCGAAAGUACGGCACCAGUAGAUCCUUAAUUUCUCUUGUUAUAAUAUGUAUAUUCUUGUGUUUGUCCACACACGAAUAAUACAAACGUAGAUAAAGUAACCCUUGUACCUAUAUUUAUUUAUAUACACGAAUAUAUAUCAAAUUUUAAAUAUAACAUAUCACUGAUGCAACAACAAAAAAACGAAACGUCCAAAGGAUUUCGAUCGGUUACUUUAAGAAGUUUCUUCAACUAGAACCUUCAAAGUCAUCACUGAUAGGGUCGUCGUUGUGUAAAACCGUACCUACUAAAUGUGUCUAUGUACAAUUAUUACCUUCAUUUACUAAUAGGAACGACCUAAAGAUGGAAUCAUUCGUAAAGGCGACAAUUUGGUACUAAUCGUGCGAUUUAAAUAAGCGUCACGGCAAUAAACACGCUGACUUGUACAUAUUGAAUACCAGUCGCACAAAUUACACCUAACUUCACAAAAUAAAAAAAUGACAAAUACGAACAAAGCACAAAAGGACACAAAAGAAACAGUAAGGACUUCAAACGUUACUUUAAUCUCUUUUUUAAAUCAAUGAAAACUUGAUUAUAUUAUAAAAACAUUUUUUCUGUCACAAUAAAAAGUACCGAAAACUUAUAAUAUUACAAAAUAUUCUUUAAACUAUGAAAAGACUGUUAAAAGACUUGCCCUAAGGAGGGGACGGGGAGUAGAGGUUUGAGUGCACCCCCGGAGGGGCACCACCCUCUCCCUAGGGGAUACCGGUACCUUUUGGGGGGAGCACCCUAA
rnacentral:rRNA from 1 species